AGGCGGGCCGGCCGGUGGCCCCCACGCCCUCCCGGCGCUCAGCAGGAACGGCCCUCGCAUUUCCGGCCUUUGGAAGGACUUUCCGAUCCGGCCUGUCUUGCCGGCGGGCCCGUGAACCUCCCGGAUACAAAGAAGAGGCGGCGGAGGCCGGGGAAGAGGCGUGGUGUCGUUGGCUGCCCUGCUGGUGGGGCGACGUCCUCCAGGAGCCUCCCUGCCCGAGGCCCCUGGGGGGUCUCGGUGUUCUGGUCUGUGUCCCAGUUUUCCGCUACGAGCAUCUGAGCCCCAGGUUAUUAAGGAAAGGGUCCCCGUGGGGACCUCAGUUACGGGGCUGCUCCCGGCGGUCCGCGUUCUCUAGGAACCCUGUCUGUGUGCAGGAGGACAGCCAGCCAGAAACCCAUCAGACAUGUGCGGCGACCCCGCCCACCCGGCCGGGCCCAGGGCUUGUCCAGACAAGGCUGCGGCGGGCAAGAAAGAAGGCGUUUUCCCGAUAGAGCCCCAGCAAGGGGACAGGGAGGCUUCUGUGCCCACAGAAGGAGUGGAGAUGGCCUUCCCGCGCAGAGGCAACUCCUUUCUGCAACUGGGCCCAGUGCUGUCCAGCCGGAAGCUGACCGUUGCCACCACCUCCACAGCCAUCAGCUGCUGCAAGCCUGGGUUUCUCCAGGAAUCUCCUAGCCAAGCCUCUGCUCCUGGCGUGACACCUUCAGUCUCUUCUCAGUACAAAGUCUUCGACAACAGUGGGAGCCAGAACUUGCCCUCCAACUUCUCAAACCCCUCCUCCAACCCCUCCGCCCCCACUCAACAGAAAAGCACUGUCUUCAGAACGGGCCGUCCAGCCCUCACUGAGUCACCUCUCCACGUCCCUGCCCACCACCGCCCCUCAGACGCGCGCCUCUUCCUGCCUUUCCCGCUGCCUGGAGCCGUGUCUCCAGCCUCCCCGCAGGUCAGGAACUGCUGUGGCCGACGGAGGCGGGGGGUGCGCUCCUAGUGAACGAGGUGCCAGAGGCAGGAGAUGGCUUCCUUGCGGAGGGGACAUGAGAACUGAGACCUGAGGGUAAGUGGGAAUUGGCUUGUCACAGAGGAAGGGGGGAGUGUCCCAGGCACAGGGACUGGCGUGCUCGGAGCUCCGCAGCAGGGACGAAGCCAGGCGAGUGCCCGAGGGGGGGAGGAGCUCCCGAGGGAUGNNNNNNNNNNNNNNNNNNNNNNNNNNNNNNNNNNNNNNNNNNNNNNNNNNNNNNNNNNNNNNNNNNNNNNNNNNNNNNNNNNNNNNNNNNNNNNNNNNNNAGCUGUGGGGGUGGCUGGGGGGCUUGGGGAGGCAGCAGGGCCAGGCCGGCCCCACUCCAGCCUUUUCUAGCAUGUCUACACCCAUUUUCUCACCCAAAGCGGGGCCUGACCUGUUCUGCAGCUCAGGAAAAUGAGGCUCUGAGGGGAGAGGGGACCACCGGGCCAGCAGACAGAGCUGAGACCUCGGAGCCCCAGCCCUGGCGUGGGGCGGGGCCCGCCCGGCCGGCCUCCUGCCCGGGUGGCCACCCUGGUCCUGGGCAGGACUUCCAGGCCAGAUGGCCUCAACCUCCCCACUCCUGCUUUCCAGACCUCUGGGUGAGGCUGGGCGCCCUCCCUGGGAGGAAGGCUGGCAGGCACAGUGCUGGGGACCAGGGACACUCGGGCACAGGCAGCAGGUUCGCAUCCAGGAAGGCAGGCUCGCGGUGGGGGACCCUGGAGUGGGGGGGUGGGGUCUGCAGACCCUUUAACCGGUAGAUUGAACUGCAAGCAACAGAUGUGGUCAAGGCUGACGGCCUGAGCUGGAACAAAACCGGGGGUGCCUGUCCAGACCAGCAGCAGCUGGCAGUGCCUGGAGCCUUGAGGCAGAGAGGGGAAACCAGAGCGGGAGUGAGGGGCGGGCGGAGAAAGAAGGGAAAGGCACCCACCCACAAGGCCCCUCCUGCAGGGCUUCUCAGAGCCCCCGUCCCCUGCCAAGCAGCGUGACGCCCAAGGGAGCGGCCACACUGCACAGGGGUUCCCAGGCUGACCCCCGCGGGGCUGACCCGUGGAAGUGAGGGCAGCUGCGGUAGUGAUCGCCGGGUGCUUCGGGGACAGCUGAGCAGAGCACCCCGAGGGGAACCAGAGCCACUUGCAAGGGUACCCAGAGGGUCACACGGACCGCAGCAGAGCAUCCAAGGGGCAUCCCGUCCUCCCGGUUCCCAAGGCCGUCAUCAGUUCAGCUGGUGGCUCACACAGGCGGCUGUGGAUGCCGGCACCCCAGGCAGGAGGGAGCUGGAAGCUGUGACACCCCAUUUUAGGGGGCCACCCAUUAAUUAAUUAGGGCCCAUGAAUAAUGCACGCUGCCUCGCGUAUAUUAAUAGCAUAUUUAUACGAUGUGCUAUGGAUGGUAUAUGUUCUCGUCCGAACACCUCACGAAUAAUUCACGACCCGCUCCUUCCCCGGGCUCCGGGCAAACCCGGCCGGUGCUUUGGCUGGGGCUCACGGUUUGCUUCCAACAGCCGAAUUUUACAUUUCAUUAUAAACGGCUUUGCUGGGCAUGUCGGUAACUUUUACAUUUCCAUCCACUUUAUUAUUAAUGGCUUUCCCGAGCUGUAGCAGCCCAGCGCUGCGCACAAUGCAUUAUGAAUAUCUGAUCCGGCAUCUAUAGUCCGCCAUCUAUCAUUUAUAACGGGUUACAAAAACAUUAUAAAACAUUAACCGCACAUUUAUAGAUCAUUUUCGGCUACCACGACGGUGUGUUAUAAAUACAUUAUUAAUUCUCCUCAUGCCAUUUAUAGGAACCCCGUGUAAUGGGGCCCAGCCCUCUAGUCCUGUUAACAGCACGCAGGGGCUGGUGGGGGCACCGGGCAGCAGGACCAGGGCGGAAGGAAGCCGGCCCUGCCUGCAGUGAUGUGUCCUUGGCGAGGCUGCAGCACCUCUCUGUUCACAGAGCAGGCCGCAAGGAUGGGGCCCCUUCACUGAGCACUCCUGUGCUCACAGCCCCCAGACCCAGGUCUUGUCACAUUCUAUCACAUGGAAGCGGGGGCUGUAGUCAGGGAUGCUGAGCUGGCCGUGGAGGCCUGGGGUGCUCCGAGCCACCUGCCCCUGGCUCGGGGCUAAGAGUUCAGACGCGGCUGCCCUGGCCUUGAAGGGGCCAGCCUGGAGGACCCCGGGGGUGGAGCAGAGGCUCAGGGCGAGGGCACCCAGGCAGGGGCGGCGGGCUGAUGGGGCGGCUGGGGCCCGGCGCCCCCCAGCUCCUGCUGACACGGCGCUUCCAUCCCGUGGGCUCUCCCGGCCUGUGGGCGCCAGGGAUGCCGACGGUGAUGUGGGCCAGGGAUGCCGGGCUCGAGGGCCCUUGAGAGCCCCCCAGAGACUCACCCGGGUGCGCAGAGCAGGCGGCAGUCAGCAGCUGCUUCCUCCGCUGCAGCGGUCGGUGGGGCCCAGGGCUCUGCCGCCUGGAGUCCUGCCCCAAUGCCCCUGCUCCCCGCGCGUGGCACGUGGUCACUUUCUGGACGAUGCCCACGGAGCCCCGUGUGUCGGCCGCACCCUCUGGGCCCCUUGAGCCCCACAGACCUCCCAGGCCAGGCUUUACACUGGGAGGGCACCGACAGGAACCCGGGGCCGCAGGCUCUCCCCCGCUGCGGCACGAGUGCCCAGGGCUGCAACUGUAGCUUAGCAAGUUGAGUCCCGCAAAACUCCACAUCCUGCAAAACCCACUGGACAGCCCACCUUCUCGGAACAGCCCUUCCCAGCUCCCUGGAGCUGAGCCCCUGGUGACCUCUGGGGGCCCAGCCUGGGCCUGGACCGGGGAGAGGGCCCCGGGGUCAGCCUGUCCUCCUCAGAGCCUUAAAAUGGGCCGCAGGUGGGAGGGAGGGGGCGGCCCCCCGGGGGGAGCCCCCGCGGUAGCCCUCGCGGCCGAGACGCCUGAGAUAGCCCCCUUCAGCCCCGCCAGGCCGAGCUGCAUCAGGGUUCAGUUGCUCUGAGGGAGGAAAAGAUGGAGUGUCCGGGCCCAGGACUCCGGGGCAGCUUGACCUCAUGGGACCUGAACGACCAACAGCCUCAGUGCCUCAGCUGCAAAGCGGGGCCACGAGCCGGCCCUCCCCGGGUGAAGGCGCCGCCCUGCUGCUGGGAACCUCCGGGAGGACACCUGGGUCCUGAGCCCCCGCUGCCCACGUCUCUCUGGCCCUCUGCCUGGCUGCCUGCAGGUCAGGGUCCACCCCUUGCCAGGACCAAAAAGCGAAACCAGGAAGCGUUUGUUAAUGAGGCUGUAAGAACAUAGGUGAGCUCGUCACCAUGGCAACGGUGCAUCUGGCCCCACCCCUCUGCACCUGGUGAGGAAAGCCAGGUCCGCUGUGCCUUCUGACAGCCCUCCCCGGAACGCGAGGGGGCUGGGGGCCAGCGGGACUCCUCAGCUCACUGCCUCCCUCUGCUUGUCGAGGGGGCUGAGGCCCAGGAAGGUGCGGGAGUCAUCAGGGCUGGAGCCAGGGGCUCCACCCACCCCCUCAGCUCCCCACCUUCCUGACUCGCAGGAGCCCCAACCCCAGUCUGGCCCGUUUCCCAGGCCCUGUGGAUCCAGCCAGGCUCCCGGACCUCGGACACCGCCCGGGCAGCUGGGCCCGCCCUGCUCAGCGGGGAGCGGCCCCGAGUCUCCACCAUGCAGGGAGCGGGGUUCGGGCUGCUGCCUGCACGGGCUGCGCACAGGGGCCUGUUAGGUGGCCUUGCUCCCCUGAGAGGGGCUCCCUUGCGGCCCCACAACCCCUCACCAC
rnacentral:lncRNA from 1 species